rnacentral:hammerhead_ribozyme from 1 species
AUCCAGUUGACGAGUCCCAAAUGGGACGAAACGCACGUCUUGGAU